rnacentral:rRNA from 1 species
UACGGAGGGUGCGAGCGUUGUCCGGAAUCAUUGGGCGUAAAGGGCGCGUAGGUGGCCCGGUCAGUCCGUGGUGAAAGCGCGGGGCUCAACCCUGCGUCGGCCAUGGAUACUGCCGCGGCUGGAGCACUGUAGAGGCAGGCGGAAUUCCGGGUGUAGCGGUGGAAUGCGUAGAGAUCCGGAAGAACACCGGUGGCGAAGGCGGCCUGCUGGGCAGUGGGGUGAAGACCCCUUCGAAGCUGACACUGAGGCGCGACAGCGUGGGGAGCAAACAGG